UAACUUCAUUUUGUUCUCUUUGUCCCUCUACCUUCCAUACAAUCUCUCUCCCUCACAAACAUAACAAACACACUUCACUUCUUCUUUACCCGAAUCCACUCUUCCCCAAAGAAGAAUCAUCAGAGCAAGGUUGAUCGAAAUGGAGAGGCUAAACUCGAAGCUGUUCAUACAAAACUGUUAUAUAAUAAAAGAGAACGAAAGAUUGAGGAAGAAGGCUCAGAUUCUGAAUCAAGAGAAUCAACAGCUUCUCUUUGAGCUCAAACAGAAGCUCUCUAAAACCAAGAACCCAAAUGGAUCAAAUCAAGAAAGCAACAACAGUCUCUCUUCAUCUGACUCUGCCUCCGGACAAUCCUAAUUCAACAAAACUCUUAGUAGGACAAGAUUUGGAUUUCGUAGACUGAAAAAAAAAAUCUUAAUGACCCUGCUUAAUUAGAAGAACCCAUCCUUUUAUUUUUUUGGUGUAAUGUAAGAAAAUAGUUAAGAGUAGUGGUUAGUGGUAGUAUUAUUAAUUGGUUUUCUUGUUUUUAAAUUUGUUUUAGUUUGUGGGUUCU